rnacentral:lncRNA from 1 species
GGACUGAAAGUAUAACGUUUGUAAAAUGAAUCAGUUUGUUGGCAUUUGAGCAAAAAUUGUUGCAAUUUUCUUAGCAGAAUUAUCUUGUGAAAUCCUAAGUGCACAAAAGUUCUCUUAAAACCAGAUGUACAAAAAAAAAACACAUUUCUUAUCCAUAAACAAAAAAAAGUUGUUGGACAUAAAUGUUGUGCCAAUGUGUCGGACUGAUCUCAAAAACUCUUUGUGGCAUAUUUUUUAACUCAAAGGAAUUUCAAAAAGAGAAAAUGCAGAAUAUAAUGUAAAACUUGACAAAACAAAAGUCAAAUCAUGACAAAGCCAAUGAAACAAAUGAGAACCAAAGACCAGGUAACCUGGGACUUAAAUAUCCAUAAAACCAAUUAAAAAAAGCAGAAACAGCUGCUUGAUUUGAAACUGGAAUCUGGUGUGGGAAGCAGAAAACCACGCAGAACCCAAAAGCGCAUGAAAACUGAAGCAUAGCAGUCACAUUAGACGUGUAUCUGAUCUUCUGCAGGUCUCAGACACAGUAUUAGAUCCUCUGGAGCUCCGUUUUUGCAUUAAUUAAGCGACUUUACCUGCAGGACACUGCAGACAUAAAUUAUGGGCUCUGCAGAGGUGAAUCAGGGGACGGCUGCACUGAAGCCUGAACUACCGAUUUGGACUUCCUGUCAGCGCCGUCAUCAGCGGUCCAGCAUCAUGGGGAAGAACAGGGCAUUGGACUCUUCUGCCAACGUUGCCCAGGAGCACAAGAGGCAGAGGAGUGUGUAUCUGACCGCUCCGACAGAGCGGAGAGGGGCUGGCAUCUGCUUUAAUAACGCUGCCCUCCCCCUCCACACGACCCUCUCCCCGAGCUGUGGAAGGAGCGCCAUCACUGGAGGAGAGGUGUCAGAGGGUUCCUGUCAUGCUGACGUCUUCAUCGCUAAGCUGAGCCGACAGGCAGGGCCUGCCAGCCGCUGGAGGUGACAAUGAAUCCAAUUACCUCCCCUCCAUGGCGCCCAGUCCAGACUUUGGGUGGAGGAAAGAGAGCGGGAUGAGUGAGGGGGGCAGUGGAGAUGGAGACGAGGUGAUGCUCCAACAUCAGAGUGACAGUCUCAGCUUGUUCCUGGAUGCGUUUUUACGCUGUCAGCCUCUGUCUGCACUUAAACAACACAACCAUCCUCUCAUGAUUCACUGAUAUAUGAGACAUGUCAGCAUCUCACAACCAGGAGAGAAGUGUCUAUCUGACUACGCACCAAUCUAAAUAGCAGAUUACAUGAAUUUCAUUUUUUUGUGCAUUUUGCAAUUGUGCGAUGGAGUUUUAGGGCCACCAAAAAAAUAAGAGUAAACUUACGAGAUUUUAAGUCGUAAAUUUACAAGAAAAAAUCUCGUAAAUUUACGAGAUUAAAGUGGAAGUGAGCAUACAGUGCAGCAGCAAGUGAACAGCAGCAGAGCAGACCAACUAAACUCAAUUGAACAGGUAAGCUGGAUGUUUAUUGAUUACUUUCCAAAUGUUUGGAAGCUCAUUUGUUUGAUUUACGAUUUGUUAAGGUUUUAUUUAUUGAUGGGUGUUUUGCAGAAUCUCUGCAGCUCCUUGAUGAAGACAUCGGUAUCCCUGCAGGCGGCUUUCCACUUCAAUCCUUUCUUCCUCCACCAAAGACCAGAUCUCUACGUUUGUGUGAUGCUUCCGUCCGAGGAGGAGCACUUUUUUGACAUUUUCAACGUUCUGAUGCUAAUAUAACAAACUCUUUUCAUUCCUCUUUAUUGUUUAAUGUUGAAACGGGACGUUUCAUCUGGAGGCGUCUGUAACACUGUUUACUUCCGCAUUGGUUUUCAGAUGACAGGUUCAUGACAUAAGGUGACAGAUGAACUUCAGGUGUGUGAAUAAAAAGGAGAAUGAAGGCUGCAGCGGUCCUCUACACCCAACUGUGUCUCUGAACUCCUUAGUUUACAGAUGAAACUCCGCUUUACUGACACUAACCCCGGAAAGCCGGCUCCACUGACAAUAAUGAUUUUGAGUUGCCAAAAGGUUCCGAAUCUUUGUUUUUUAAACCAAUCCGGAAAUAAAGCUUCACAAAAGGCUCGUCGUCUUCAAGCUAGGCUCCGAUAAUGGAAAACUUUGGCGUUUUUUUCAGCGUUAAUCUAUGACUUUUUCCAUGUAAAUUUACGAGAUAAAAACUCGUUUAUUUACGAGAUUUUUUCUAGUAAAUUUACGACUUAAAAUCUUGUAAUUUAAAAGUUAUGACUUUCUUUCUCUUACUUAAAAAACUGGCUUGACUUGGCUGACUUGUUGUAAUAUUGGUAAACUGGCCCUGAAACUUCGUCGUACAAUUGAAAUUUCCUUAACAAAGACUUAAAUAUCUAACAGAUUUCUCAACUAUUUAAUAGAAAUGAAACUUGCAUACCACCAACUAGAACUCAAGUUUAGCAACUACAGUCUGCAUCAAAUCUUCCUCUAAUAAUGUAGCU